UACGAAGGGGGCUAGCGUUGCUCGGAAUCACUGGGCGUAAAGGGUGCGUAGGCGGGUCUUUAAGUCAGGGGUGAAAUCCUGGAGCUCAACUCCAGAACUGCCUUUGAUACUGAAGAUCUUGAGUUCGGGAGAGGUGAGUGGAACUGCGAGUGUAGAGGUGAAAUUCGUAGAUAUCCGCAAGAACACCAGUGGCGAAGGCGGCUCACUGGCCCGAUACUGACGCUGAUGCACGAAAGCGUGGGGAGCAAACAGG
rnacentral:rRNA from 1 species